rnacentral:rRNA from 2 species
UACGUAGGGGCCGAGCGUUGUCCGGAGUUACUGGGCGUAAAGCGUGCGCAGGCGGCGCGUUCUGCCCGGCGUGAAAGCCCCCGGCUCAACCGGGGAACGUCGUCGGGGACGGGCGCGCUUGAGGGCGGCAGGGGCUGGUGGAAUUCCCGGUGUAGUGGUGAAAUGCGUAGAGAUCGGGAGGAACACCUGUGGCGAAGGCGGCCAGCUGGGCCGACCCUGACGCUGAGGCACGAAGGCGUGGGGAGCGAACGGG